CCUGGAAAGUAUGCUGUCAGCAUCUAGUCUGUGGCUGCUCUGUGUCUAAACACUUGGCUGCCUCAGUACAGGGAAAGGGUGAGUGAGAGGAUUGUGGGGGAGUGCAGCUCCACCCCCGUAUGGCAUUUGCAUUGGACUCACGCCUAGACUGGGCCUAGAUGUGGCCAGUUGUGUGACUGGUCGUGCUGUGGCCAGCUGACACCCUCUUGGCUGCAUUUGUGUUUUGAAAUCUGCCUUGAAUGAACUGCCAGAGAAGCAAACAAACACUUCCGGGACACAGAAUACCUCACUCUCUAUGCUGGAGACAAGUGUGGCCUCAGGAGCAAGUGGAAAGUUCUGAAUGAAAACUCGCAGACCCACCGGCCACCCUCUGGCCCCACCACAGUGCUGUGGGCACCUGGACGGGCUGGAAGCAGCCUACACACAUUUCUCCCUAUCACGAAAGAAUCAAAGACAGCAUCUUGGGUAGGAAGCAAUCGCGGAGGGUGGAAGUUUCUGGUCAGGCAAAUAAAUUGGAUUUAAGUAUAUUACAGUCAUAAUCUUUCCUGCCCCUCUCCAGACGGUCUCUGUACAUGGAAAAAUGAGAAUAUAUUCGCAGACAAAGCUUGACCUGAGGGAGAAGCCUGCCGGAAUCUGGAUUUCCAAUAACAUAAGACAAUAAAGCUUAGACUUCUAA